rnacentral:rRNA from 1 species
AAUAUUUGACAAUGGGGGCAACCCUUAUCCAGCCAUGCCGCGUGUGUGAAGAAGGUCUUCGGAUUGUAAAGCACUUUAAGUUGGGAGGAAGGGCUUUAGGCUAAUACCCUGAAGUUUUGACGUUACCAACAGAAUAAGCACCGGCUAACUCUGUUCCAGUAGCCGCGGUAAUACAGAGGGUGCAAGCGUUAAUCGGAAUUACUGGGAGUAAAGCGCGCGUAGGUGGUUCAGUAAGAUGGGUGUGAAAUCCCCGGGCUUAACAUGGGAACUGCUUUCAUAACUGCUGAACUAGAGUACGGUAGAGGGUAGUGGAAUUUCCUGUGUAGCGGUGAAAUGAGUAGAUAUAGGAAGGAACAACAGUGGCGAAGGAGACUACCUGGACUGAUACUGACACUGAGGUGCGAAAGCGUGGGGAGCAAACA